UCUACAGGCUUAACACAUGCAAGUCGAGGGGCAGCAUGGUCUUAGCUUGCUAAGGCCGAUGGCGACCGGCGCACGGGUGAGUAACGCGUAUCCAACCUGCCUUACACUCUUGGACAGCCUUCUGAAAGGGAGAUUAAUACAAGAUGUUAUCAUGAGUAAGCAUUUUCGCAUGAUUAAAGGUUUACCGGUGUAAGAUGGGGAUGCGUUCCAUUAGAUAGUAGGCGGGGUAACGGCCCACCUAGUCUUCGAUGGAUAGGGGUUCUGAGAGGAAGGUCCCCCACAUUGGAACUGAGACACGGUCCAAACUCCUACGGGAGGCAGCAGUGAGGAAUAUUGGUCAAUGGACGAGAGUCUGAACCAGCCAAGUAGCGUGAAGGAUGAAGGUUCUAUGGAUUGUAAACUUCUUUUAUACGGGAAUAAACGAAUCCACGUGUGGAUUUUUGCAUGUACCGUAUGAAUAAGGAUCGGCUAACUCCGUGCCAGCAGCCGCGGUAAUACGGAGGAUCCGAGCGUUAUCCGGAUUUAUUGGGUUUAAAGGGAGCGUAGAUGGGUUGUUAAGUCAGUUGUGAAAGUUUGCGGCUCAACCGUAAAAUUGCAAUUGAUACUGGCAGUCUUGAGUACAGUUGAGGUAGGCGGAAUUCGUGGUGUAGCGGUGAAAUGCUUAGAUAUCACGAAGAACUCCGAUUGCGAAGGCAGCUUACUAACCUGUAACUGACAUUGAUGCUCGAAAGUGUGGGUAUCAAACAGGAUUAGAUACCCUGGUAGUCCACACGGUAAACGAUGAAUACUCGCUGUAGGCGAUAUACAGUCUGCGGCCAAGCGAAAGCAUUAAGUAUUCCACCUGGGGAGUACGCCGGCAACGGUGAAACUCAAAGGAAUUGACGGGGGCCCGCACAAGCGGAGGAACAUGUGGUUUAAUUCGAUGAUACGCGAGGAACCUUACCCGGGCUUAAAUUGCAACCGAAUAUGGCGGAAACGCUAUAGCUAGCAAUAGCGGUUGUGAAGGUGCUGCAUGGUUGUCGUCAGCUCGUGCCGUGAGGUGUCGGCUUAAGUGCCAUAACGAGCGCAACCCUUGCCGAUAGUUACUAACAGGUCAUGCUGAGGACUCUGUCGGGACUGCCAUCGUAAGAUGUGAGGAAGGUGGGGAUGACGUCAAAUCAGCACGGCCCUUACGUCCGGGGCUACACACGUGUUACAAUGGGGGGUACAGAGGGCUGCUACCACGCAAGUGGAUGCCAAUCCCAAAAACCUCUCUCAGUUCGGAUUGAAGUCUGCAACCCGACUUCAUGAAGCUGGAUUCGCUAGUAAUCGCGCAUCAGCCACGGCGCGGUGAAUACGUUCCCGGGCCUUGUACACACCGCCCGUCAAGCCAUGGGAGCCGGGGGUACCUGAAGUGCGUAACCGCAAGGAGCGCCCUAGGGUAAAACUGGUGACUGGG
rnacentral:rRNA from 1 species